AGAGUUUGAUCCUGGCUCAGGAUGAACGCUGGCGGCGUGCUUAACACAUGCAAGUCGAACGAUGAUCCUCAGCUUGCUGGGGGGAUUAGUGGCGAACGGGUGAGUAACACGUGAGUAACCUGCCCUUGACUCUGGGAUAAGCCUGGGAAACUGGGUCUAAUACUGGAUACGACCUUCCCACGCAUGUGGUGUUGGUGGAAAGCUUUUGUGGUUUUGGAUGGACUCGCGGCCUAUCAGCUUGUUGGUGGGGUAAUGGCCUACCAAGGCGACGACGGGUAGCCGGCCUGAGAGGGUGGACGGCCACACUGGGACUGAGACACGGCCCAGACUCCUACGGGAGGCAGCAGUGGGGAAUAUUGCACAAUGGGCGCAAGCCUGAUGCAGCGACGCCGCGUGAGGGAUGAAGGCCUUCGGGUUGUAAACCUCUUUCAGUAGGGAAGAAGCGAAAGUGACGGUACCUGCAGAAGAAGCGCCGGCUAACUACGUGCCAGCAGCCGCGGUAAUACGUAGGGCGCAAGCGUUAUCCGGAAUUAUUGGGCGUAAAGAGCUCGUAGGCGGUUUGUCGCGUCUGCCGUGAAAGUCCGGGGCUUAACUCCGGAUCUGCGGUGGGUACGGGCAGACUUGAGUGAUGUAGGGGAGACUGGAAUUCCUGGUGUAGCGGUGAAAUGCGCAGAUAUCAGGAGGAACACCGAUGGCGAAGGCAGGUCUCUGGGCAUUAACUGACGCUGAGGAGCGAAAGCAUGGGGAGCGAACAGGAUUAGAUACCCUGGUAGUCCAUGCCGUAAACGUUGGGCACUAGGUGUGGGGGACAUUCCACGUUUUCCGCGCCGUAGCUAACGCAUUAAGUGCCCCGCCUGGGGAGUACGGCCGCAAGGCUAAAACUCAAAGGAAUUGACGGGGGCCCGCACAAGCGGCGGAGCAUGCGGAUUA
rnacentral:rRNA from 1 species